rnacentral:misc_RNA from 1 species
AACGCAUCUUGCACUUUUCAGGUCUCCUGGAAAGUAUACUUGUUUGAGUAUCAUAAACAUUUCUCAAAGAGUUUUCUUUGGAAGUGAGACGUCAGAGGGCAGCGCUCUUUGUGUCUUUUAAUCGAUAUGCAGUGCGAUUCUCAUUCUCCCAGUGAGAGUGAGGUGUCCAAUUACCAAAUGUGAGAUAGAUAUCGCACAGAGAGGGGUUGGAUCAAGUUCUGUUACGCCUAGUGUAUGCUGCUGUGGUUUGUGUAUUCAUGCCGCUGCAGUAAAGCACAACCUGAGUCAUUGAUCUCAAAUCAAGUAAGAUUACCCGCUGAACUUAA